AAAACGACUCUCGGCAAUGGAUAUCUAGGCUCUCGCAUCGAUGAAGAACGUAGCGAAAUGCGAUACUUGGUGUGAAUUGCAGAAUCCCGCGAAUCAUCGAGUUUUUGAACGCAAGUUGCGCCCGAAGCCAUUCGGCCGAGGGCACGUCUGCCUGGGUGUCACGC
rnacentral:rRNA from 1 species